rnacentral:pre_miRNA from 1 species
CAUUUACUCCCUCCGUUCCAAAUUACUUGUCGCAGAAAUGGAUGUAUCUAGAACUAAAAUACAUCUAGAUACAUCCAUAUCUGCGACAAGUAAUUCGGAACGGAGGGAGUAUUUA